rfam:Salmo salar isolate Sally breed double haploid chromosome ssa20, whole genome shotgun sequence.
AUGAAAUGCAGUUGUAAGUUGCUCUGGAUAAGAGUGUCUGCUAAAUGACUAAAA